UGUUUAGUAUAAAUAUUUCCCUAGCAAUAUUUGGGACAUACUUAUGCUAAAA
rnacentral:pre_miRNA from 1 species